CAGCCGCCGCGGUAAAACCAGCACCUCAAGUGGUCAGGAUGAUUAUUGGGCCUAAAGCGUCCGUAGCCCGUUUUGUAAGUUUUCGGUUAAAUCCAUGCGCUUAACGUAUGGGCUGCCGGGAAUACUGCAUAACUAGGAAGUGGGAGAGGUAGACGGUACUCGGUAGGAAGGGGUAAAAUCCUUUGAUCUAUUGAUGACCACCUGUGGCGAAGGCGGUCUACCAGAACACGUUCGACGGUGAGGGAUGAAAGCUGGGGGAGCAAACCGGAUUAGAUACCCGGGUAGUCCCAGCUGUAAACUAUGCAAACUCAGUGAUGCAUUGGCUUAUGGCCAAUGCAGUGCUGCAGGGAAGCCGUUAAGUUUGCCGCCUGGGAAGUACGUACGCAAGUAUGAAACUUAAAGGAAUUGGCGGGGGGAGCACCA
rnacentral:rRNA from 1 species